rnacentral:rRNA from 1 species
UACGGGGGGGGCAAGCGUUGUUCGGAAUUACUGGGCGUAAAGGGCGCGUAGGCGGUUUGUUAAGUUGGUUGUGAAAACUCUGGGCUUAACCCAGAGCCUGCAUCCAAAACUAGCAAGCUAGAGUUCUGGAGGGGAUAGCGGAAUUCCUGGUGUAGCGGUGAAAUGCGUAGAUAUCAGGAGGAACACCGGUGGCGAAGGCGGGUCUCUGGGCCGAUACUGACGCUGAGGAGCGAAAGCGUGGGGAGCGAACAGG